rnacentral:rRNA from 1 species
UACGUAGGGUGCGAGCGUUAAUCGGAAUUACUGGGCGUAAAGCGUGCGCAGGCGGUGAUGUAAGACAGUUGUGAAAUCCCCGGGCUCAACCUGGGAAUUGCAUCUGUGACUGCAUCGCUAGAGUACGGUAGAGGGGGAUGGAAUUCCGCGUGUAGCAGUGAAAUCGUAGAUAUGCGGAGGAACACCGAUGGCGAAGGCAAUCCCCUGGACCUGUACUGACGCUCAUGCAC